rnacentral:rRNA from 1 species
GGUACGCGAGCUGGGUUCAGAACGUCGUGAGACAGUUCGGUCCCUAUCCGUCGCAGGCGUAGGAAAUUUGAGAAGACCUGUCCUUAGUACGAGAGGACCGGGAUGGACGUACCUCUGGUGUACCAGUGGUCCUGCCAAGGGCAUGGCUGGGUAGCUAGGUACGGAAUGGAUAAGCGCUGAAAGCAUCUAAGCGCGAAGCCAACUUCAAGAUAAGAUUUCCCACCGCAAGGGUAAGACCCCAGAAAGACUAACUGGUUGAUAGGUCGAAGGUGUAAGUGCAGCAAUGUAUUUAGCUUAUCGAUACUAAUAGGUCGAGGACUUGACCAAU